rnacentral:rRNA from 1 species
CAAUAGCGUAUAUUAAAGUUGUUGCGGUUAAAAGCUCGUAGUUGGAUUUCUGCUGAGAACGACCGGUCCGCCCUUUGGGUGUGUAUCUGGCUCUUUCUUGGCAUCUUCUUGGUGAACGUUGCUGCACUUGACUGUGUGGAGCGCUACCCAGGACUUUUACUUUGAGGAAAUUAGAGUGUUUCAAGCAGGCAUACGCCUUGAAUACAUUAGCAUGGAAUAAUAAGAUAGGACCUCGGUUCUAUUUUGUUGGUUUCUAGAGCUGAGGUAAUGAUUAAUAGGGAUAGUUGGGGGCAUUCGUAUUUAACUGUCAGAGGUAAAAUUCUUGGAUUUGUUAAAGACGGACUACUGCGAAAGCAUUUGCCAAGGAUGUUUUCAUUGA